rnacentral:rRNA from 1 species
UCCGUAGGGUGCAAGCGCUGUCCGGAAUUAUUGGGCGUAAUGAGCUCGUAGGCGGUUUGUCGCGUCUGCUGUGAAAGUUCGGGGCUCAACCCCGGAACUGCAGUGGGUACGGGCAGACUAGAGUGCGGUAGAGGAGACUGGAAUUCCUGGUGUAGCGGUGGAAUGCGCAGAUAUCAGGAGGAGCACCAGUGGCGAAGGCGGGUCUCUGGGCCGCAACUGACGCUGAGGAGCGAAAGCGUGGGGAGCUAACAGG